rnacentral:lncRNA from 1 species
CGGUGUAUCCCCGUUCCGGGGGUGCCCUGGCUCCGGGUGUAACCCUGCUCUGGGUGUCCCGGUUCCCGGGAUAUCCCCACUCCGGGUGUCCCCGCUCUGGGGUGUAUCCCUGCUCUGGGUGUUACCCCACUCCGGGUGUCCCGGCUCCCAGGAUAUCCUGGCUCCGGGUGUACCCUGGCUCCUGGUGUAUCCUGGCUCUGGGUGUCCCCACUCUGGGAUAUCCCCACUCUGGGUGUUCCUGCUCCGGGUGUAACACCUCUCCGGGUGUAACCCUGCUCCGGGUGUAUCCUGGCUCUGGGUGUAACCCUGCUCCGGGUGUUUCCCGGCUCCCGGGAUAUCCCUGUUCCGGGUGUCCCCACUCUGGGUGUAACCCUGUUUCCGGGAUAUCCCAGCUCUGGGUGUUCCCCCUCUCCGGGUGUAUCCCCACUCUGGGUGUAACCCCGUUCCCGGGAUAUCCCCGUUCCGGGUGUUCCCCCUCUCCGGGUGUAACCCCAUUCCAGGUGUAUCCUGGCUCACGGGAUAUCCCAGCUCCGGGUGUAUCCCCGCUCCGGGUGUUCCCCCUGUCCGGGUGUUCCCCGGCUGCAGGGGCGUGCGGCGGGUGGGACUGACGCCGGUGGGUGUGCGGGGCCGGGGGGUUGUAUUAACACUGUUUUAUUGUCACUGCAGCCACCUUUGUGAUGGCUUUUGCCACUGCUGGCUUGCAGCUGAUCCUAAUGCUCCCCCCUCCACACCUCAGUGUAUGGUUGGUAUAAGGGUUUGUAUCCUGGUAAGACCCCUUCGAUACCCCCCUCCCACCCAAAAAAACAACACCCCGACACACCCAAAAUCACCGCCCGGGGCAGGACCGGGGAGGGGCUUUGGGGGGGGGGGGGGGAGCCCCUGGGCGCUCCCCCCUCUCUCCCGGACCCCUCCUGUGUCCCCCACCCCCCGUUUUUAAGGGCAGCGGAGGAGUUUUUUGGGGGGGGGGUUGGAUUUUUG